rnacentral:rRNA from 1 species
UAACGGCGAGUGAAGCGGCAAAAGCUCAAAUUUGAAAGUUUGGGCAUUGUAAUUUGAAGAAAUAAAACCCAUGGUGAGGCGAAACAAGUCCAUUGGAAAAGGGCCCCACAGAGGGUGACAGCCCCGUAGUUUCUCCCCUCACCCCACCGUUUUAUUUUCAAGAGUCGAGUUGUUUGGGAUUGCAGCUCUAACGGUGGUAAAUUCCAUCUAAAGCUAAAUACUGGCGAGAGACCGAUAGCGAACAAGUACAGUGAUGGAAAGAUGAAAAGCACUUUGAAAAGAGAGUGAAAAAGUACGUGAAAUUGUUGAAAGGGAAGGGCUUGACCGGCUGGGGAGGUCGGGGAAAAAGAGGCCAAAACAAGCAAGGAAUGUAACUCUCGAGUAUUAUAUCCUCGC